rnacentral:tRNA from 1 species
GUAAUCAUCGGCCUCACCACAGCGCUUGCAUGGCAUGCAAGAGGUCGGGGGUUCGAGCCCCCCUGGCUCCACCA